UAGGGAAUCUUCCGCAAUGGACGCAAGUCUGACGGAGCAACGCCGCGUGAGUGAAGAAGGAUUUCGGUUCGUAAAACUCUGUUGUUAGAGAAGAACAGCGCAUAGAGUAACUGUUAUGCGUGUGACGGUAUCUAACCAGAAAGCCACGGCUAACUACGUGCCAGCAGCCGCGGUAAUACGUAGGUGGCAAGCGUUGUCCGGAUUUAUUGGGCGUAAAGCGAGCGCAGGCGGUUAGAAAAGUCUGAAGUUAAAGGCAGUGGCUCAACCAUUGUAGGCUUUGGAAACUGUUUAACUUGAGUGCAGAAGGGGAGAGUGGAAUUCCAGGUGUAGCGGUGAAAUGCGUAAAUAUAUGGGGGAACACCGGUGGCGAAAGCGGCUCUCUGGUCUGUAACUGACGCUGAGGCUCGAAAGCGUGGGGAGCGAACAGG
rnacentral:rRNA from 1 species